UUCUUUAAGCGCCAGGUACCUGCGGCAGGCAGGUUGACGAGGAGAAAGGUGAUCGAAAAUUCGGCGGGUGCCUUUCCGUAUGAUUCCCGUGCGAGACGCGUCGGCAAAUAUGCAGGUAACUGCAAAACAAAUACGGUGCGA
rnacentral:ncRNA from 1 species